CUUGGCGCAAUUCAACAAAGUGAUCUUAAAGGCAAGAAUUUGUGAAUGUCAACUUCCUCAUUUUGCAGUAUCAUUACUAAAUGCCGUUCAAAGACUCCAAAGUGAUCUUACUGAUUAGUUGCUUCCAAAUAUUUCUAACCAAAUUUCCAACAAGGUUGAAAGUCACAAGAGCA